AUUAAACGCUGGCGGCAUGCUUUACACAUGCAGAUCGAACGGCAGCACGGACUUCGGUCUGGUGGCGAGUGGCGAACGGGUGAGUAAUACAUCGGAACGUACCCAGUAAUGGGGGAUAACUAGUCGAAAGAUUAGCUAAUACCGCAUACGCCCUACGGGGGAAAGAGGGGGAUCGCAAGACCUCUUGUUAUUGGAGCGGCCGAUGGCUGAUUAGCUAGUUGGUGGGGUAAAGGCCUACCAAGGCGACGAUCAGUAGCGGGUCUUAGAGGACGAUCCGCCACACUGGAACUGAGACACGGUCGAAACUCCUACGGGAGGCAGCAGUGGGGAAUCUUGGACAAUGGGCGGAAGCCUGAUCCAGCAAUGCCGCGUGCGUGAAGAAGGCCUUCGGGUUGUAAAGCGCUUUUGUCUGGGAGCAAAUCCUUGUGGCUAUACCCACCGGGGAUGAGAGUACCAGAAGAAUAAGGACCGGCUAACUACGUGCCAGCCGCCGCGGUAAGAC
rnacentral:rRNA from 1 species